rnacentral:rRNA from 1 species
GCAGGCCUAAUACAUGCAAGUCGAGCGCGCCCUUCGGGGUGAGCGGCGGACGGGUGAGUAACGCGUGGGAAUAUGCCCUUCUCUAAGGAAUAGCCUCUGGAAACGGAGAGUAAUACCUUAUACGCCCUUUGGGGGAAAGAUUUAUCGGAGAAGGAUUAGCCCGCGUUAGAUUAGGUAGUUGGUGGGGAAAAGGCCAACCAAGCCUACGAUCUAGAGAUGGUUUGAGAGGAUGAGC